GAUGAACGCUGGCGGCGUGCCUAAUACAUGCAAGUCGAGCGAACGGACGAGAAGCUUGCUUCUCUGAUGUUAGCGGCGGACGGGUGAGUAACACGUGGAUAACCUACCUAUAAGACUGGGAUAACUUCGGGAAACCGGAGCUAAUACCGGAUAAUAUUUUGAACCGCAUGGUUCAAAAGUGAAAGACGGUCUUGCUGUUACUUAUAGAUGGAUCCGCGCUGCAUUAGCUAGUUGGUAAGGUAACGGCUUACCAAGGCAACGAUGCAUAGCCGACCUGAGAGGGUGAUCGGCCACACUGGAACUGAGACACGGUCCAGACUCCUACGGGAGGCAGCAGUAGGGAAUCUUCCGCAAUGGGCGAAAGCCUGACGGAGCAACGCCGCGUGAGUGAUGAAGGUCUUCGGAUCGUAAAACUCUGUUAUUAGGGAAGAACAUAUGUGUAAGUAACUGUGCACAUCUUGACGGUACCUAAUCAGAAAGCCACGGCUAACUACGUGCCAGCAGCCGCGGUAAUACGUAGGUGGCAAGCGUUAUCCGGAAUUAUUGGGCGUAAAGCGCGCGUAGGCGGUUUUUUAAGUCUGAUGUGAAAGCCCACGGCUCAACCGUGGAGGGUCAUUGGAAACUGGAAAACUUGAGUGCAGAAGAGGAAAGUGGAAUUCCAUGUGUAGCGGUGAAAUGCGCAGAGAUAUGGAGGAACACCAGUGGCGAAGGCGACUUUCUGGUCUGUAACUGACGCUGAUGUGCGAAAGCGUGGGGAUCAAACAGGAUUAGAUACCCUGGUAGUCCACGCCGUAAACGAUGAGUGCUAAGUGUUAGGGGGUUUCCGCCCCUUAGUGCUGCAGCUAACGCAUUAAGCACUCCGCCUGGGGAGUACGACCGCAAGGUUGAAACUCAAAGGAAUUGACGGGGACCCGCACAAGCGGUGGAGCAUGUGGUUUAAUUCGAAGCAACGCGAAGAACCUUACCAAAUCUUGACAUCCUUUGACAACUCUAGAGAUAGAGCCUUCCCCUUCGGGGGACAAAGUGACAGGUGGUGCAUGGUUGUCGUCAGCUCGUGUCGUGAGAUGUUGGGUUAAGUCCCGCAACGAGCGCAACCCUUAAGCUUAGUUGCCAUCAUUAAGUUGGGCACUCUAAGUUGACUGCCGGUGACAAACCGGAGGAAGGUGGGGAUGACGUCAAAUCAUCAUGCCCCUUAUGAUUUGGGCUACACACGUGCUACAAUGGACAAUACAAAGGGCAGCGAAACCGCGAGGUCAAGCAAAUCCCAUAAAGUUGUUCUCAGUUCGGAUUGUAGUCUGCAACUCGACUACAUGAAGCUGGAAUCGCUAGUAAUCGUAGAUCAGCAUGCUACGGUGAAUACGUUCCCGGGUCU
rnacentral:rRNA from 1 species